CACAUCACACACACACGUAUAUAAUAUAUCGUGCGCGCGCACACCGCGCACCCGCGCGUCGACGAUGAGCAGUCGGGUCCGGCGGCCGCGUCGUCCUCCCUCGACACUGGGUCACCUAACCGCCGCCGCCGCCAUCGUCCGGAUCUAUCUAUGCAGGCCUCGGCUUUUCCUGGUUCGUGGAACUCGUAUGUUAUUAUUAUAUAGUCGUCGUCCCUCGCCGCUGCCGCCACCGCCACUGCCACCGCCGCCGACGGAGUUUGUGUGUUUUCUACGUAUAUUUUUGUCGGAACUACGCACAGUCGUUGAACCCCGUUCGCACGCACGCACCAGGAAAGAAAUAUGAACAGAUUAUCGACGGACGACCAGCGCAUAUGCAGUGACGACACAAAAGGCAGGUGUGACAUUUCGUCUUGUCCAAAGCUCUUUUGGUGUAGCGGUUUCGGACACGGCCCGUGGUCAGGGAGCCGAUGCAGAGUCGUGCUGAGAAUCAUCGGGUGCAGCGCACUAACGUAAAGGUAAAGGUAGUACCUACUGCGUGUACACACACACAUACACACACGGUAGUACACAAAUCCUUUCUUUCUCCCUUCGAAUCCUUUAUUAUAGUAUAUUGUGAUGUGUCCGUCGCCGCCUUGCGCCGCUGCACGCACAAUAAACCGCCGCCGCCGCCGCCUCGUGUCAAUAAUACACGGAUCGACCACACCGCAGUAUACCGUGUUCGCGGUGUGAACCAUCUGCGCGCCGGAGGGUGGUCCGAGAUGGGGCUUGACCGGUCGAUUGACUGACUAAUGACCGCGGCGACCGUCCGUCAGAUGCUUAUGCGCACUACAUUACCAUAGAUCGGGGUCAAUCUGCCGUCGACUCAGUUUUCUUUUUACACGGCCGUCAAAACCGUUUCAAAGGGUUGUCAAAUCAACAAGCCGCUCGCCCGCCGUGACCGCAGUCUAUGUAAAUCGUCAGCUACGCAGCGCCGUCGAUGCCCGGUGUUCGAGGAACGCGUACGCUCGUCUCAUAUGCGUAUCUAUCAGCUAUAGACUGUGAUAUACAAAACGAUUUAACGAUAGAUGACAUUAAUAUUGUACAAUAUUUAGAGUUAGGACGUGUCAUUUGACCCUAAACUCUAAAAAAAAUCCAUGAAAACAAAUCCAAAAAACAUCAAUAUAAUUAUGCCAUUAUAAAGACUUAAAACUAUCAAAUAAAAAUGCAUUUGAUUUCAUGAUGUUAUAGACUUCACUCUUACAUUUCCAAAAGAGUAAAUUAAGCUGGUAAUAAAUAAAGUCAAUAGCCAAUAAUGUACGUCUGAUUAGCGCUGCAGCUAAUAAUAAUUUAAUUAAGUUCCUUACUUGAUAAGUUGGCUUCUGCUAGUUAGGUUAGGUACCAUUAUAUCGUUCAUUUACUCGUAUAUUUUUGAUAUGUUGCAUUCGUUAUUUGUUCGAUUGUAUAAUUGUAAAUACAUUUUUAAAUGAAAUAACAAAUAUUAUGUUAUAAAAUGCCUGUAUGAAAAAAUUAUUAUGUACAAAACAUCAUUGGCACAAAAAAUGUGUGAAAUAUAAUGGCUUGGAAGAAAAUCAGACAACCCCCAAAACUAUGAUACGUCUCUCCCGCCAAAUCAUUCGUAUACAAAAUAGUAAGUACCAACUACCAAAUAAAUAUCAUAUGUUUCUAUAAUAAUUAUAAAAUUAAUUUUAUCACACGAAAUUAUUUUAAAUAUUAUUUUUAUGGUACAAUAUUAUGCUGAUAGAUGGUAUCGGUCGAUAAGAAUAAUUGUGGUUUU